rnacentral:misc_RNA from 1 species
UUUCCGUAGGCGAACCUGCAGAAGGAUCAUUCAUAAUAAAGUGUUUUAUGGCACUUUUUAAAAAUCCAUAUCCACCUUGUGUGCAAUGUUAGAUCUCGUCAAUCUUGGCGAGAUUUUUAUACAUCAACUCAUUCUUUAACUAAUUUGUCUGAAAAAUAUUAUGAAUACUUAAUUCAAAAUACAACUUUCAACAACGGAUCUCUUGGCUCUC